rnacentral:rRNA from 1 species
AUCCGUAAGAAUUUAAUUUUGGUUCUGAUUGAACGUUUUUCAGUAGUUUUAAGACAUGCAAAUCAUUAUUAAUAAAAGAUAUUAUUAUAUAAAUUCCAAAUAAAUAAUAUUAAUAAAAAAUAAGGUGUAAGGGUGAGUAUAGGUAGAUUAGAUACCUUAUAGACUCCUUAAAUAGGAGAUUAUUACUUCUUGAUCCACAAAGGAUCCGGUAUGCAAGCUUUGCACAACUCGAAAAAGAUACUUAAAGUAAUAUAAAAUUAAGAAAAGAAAUAUUUUUGCCUAACAAACAAAAUAAAAAGAUAAUCUUUUUAAAAAAUUUCAAUAAAUUAACAGUAGUUAACAAUUAAAUUUUAGUAAAUUUAAAUUAGUGCUAAAGCUCCCCUCUCUUUACAGUUGUAAGAGCGGUCGUGGGCUAAAGUUUAAGGACAAGUAAUAUAAUAAUUUAGCAAUUAUAAAAAGGAAAUUUUCCGCUAUAAGAUUUGAUCUAUUCUGUUUAAAGGUAGUUGGUAGAGUAAAAGCCUAUCCAAGCCUACGAUCAGUAGCUAAGUUUGAAAGAACAAAUAGCCACAUAGGUAAUGAAAUUUUCCUAGUAGUGUUUUUACUACCAGCAGUCAAGAAUCUUAGUCAAUGCUCGCAAGAGUGAACUAGCUAACUGAAAUCGCAUAUUUCGUUAAUGGAAAUGUGAUAAAGUAAGGGAAGAAGUCUGACGUUACCUUACUAUAAGUGUUGUCCAAAGCUGCAAUGUGUUGUGGGAAGACACUAAUGAGGCGAUUUAAACUAUCAAACUCCGGGAACACCCUAAAGCUUAUGUUACCAAGCUAUAGUCGAAAGACUAUAAGUGGCUGAACUAAUCACUCAGGUACGGUAAUAAGACAUAAGAUAGAUGAAAAUAAAAUGGGCAAUCGCGGAUCUAAAUCAGUAUUGAAAAAUACUGUAAAAGAGCAACGAGUAGACGGUAGUUGGAGUAAUGAUUCUAAAUUACUCUUAAGGUGUACUCUAAUGGGCUGCGAAAGCAGUUAUCCUGUCAAAAUCCCAUCUAAACAAUUAAAUAGAUUAUUUUUUUCUACGGUUAGUGGUGUAAAACCUAAACUGAAUCCUUAUUUUGUCACUGGUUUUGCCGACGCUGAAUCAUGCUUUUGUACUACAAUUGUAAAAAAUGUUAAAUUAAAAACUUUUUAUCGUGUAAGAGCUUUUUUUGCAAUUCGAUUAAAUCAACGUGAUAGGUAUUUAUUAAUUCAGUUACAAGAAUUUUUUGGUGGGAUAGGUACAAUUAGUUUUGAUAAAAAAGCUAAAGCGUUUAAGUAUUCAGUAGAUAGUCUUAAAGAUUUAACAACUACUAUUAUACCUCAUUUUAAAAAAUAUCCACUUUUGACUCAAAAAGCAGCUGAUUUUUUAUUAUUUGAACAAGUAGUUGAACUAAUGAACGCAGGUUCUCAUCUUACUGUUAAUGGUCUACAAGAAAUAGUUAAUAUUAAUGCAUCUAUGAAUUUAGGUAGUUCUGAUAUUGUUAAAUCAAAUUUUAGUAAAAUUAAUCCAGUAGAAAGAGCAAUUAUUCAAACUACAAAUAUAACUGAUCCAAAUUGGGUAUCGGGUUUUGUAAGUGGUGAGGGUAAUUUUGAUGCUGGAAUUAGAACGGCAACCAAUAAAAUUGGUUAUCGAGCAUAUUUAAGAUUUAGAGUUACACAACACGCAAGAGAUACCCAAUUAAUGGAGUUAUUAAUUAAAUAUUUAGGGGCAGGUAGACUUGAAAAAGAUUACCGAAAAAACAAAAUUUGUGUAAAUUUAGUAAUAGGUAAUUUUUCAGACUUAACCCAAAUAAUUGUACCAUUCUUUAACCAAUACCCUGUUUUGGGUGUUAAAUACUUAGAUUAUCUAGAUUGGUGUAAAAUUGCUAAUUUAAUCACUUCAGGUUCCCAUCAAACAAUUGAAGGGUUCGAAGAAAUUCGACAAAUUGAAUCUGGAAUGAACAAAGGUAGAAAAUAAUAAUAAUAUUUAAUUGCAUGAUAAAUUUGAUGAUCAUGGGUGCCAGAAGACUCGGUAAGGCCAGAGACGCAAACGUUAAUCGCAAUAACCAGGCGUAAAGGGUUCGUAGGCAGCUUAAAAAUUUUAAAUUAUAUAGCUAUAUGAUUAAUAUACUUAUUAAUUAUAAUAAUUUUAAAAAUAAUACAAGAUAUAAUCAAAUAGAGGAUAAGUUGAACAAUACUUAGAGUAAGGGUUAAAUCUAUAGAUACUAAGUAGAAUACUCAAGGUGAAAACUUUUUAUCCAUUAUUGAUGGAAGCUGAGGAACGAAGGUUUGAACAGAAAAUAGGAUGUGCGACUUGAUAAGUCUAAUUAUUGUAUUGUAUUCUCAGAAUACAUUAUCUUUCGUCUGAUAAUAGCCAACCUAGACAUGCAAAAGAUUUGAUUUGAAUUUUAUCUUUCCAGAAAUGGUUUUGUGUGAAGCUCUAGGGUAAAGUUAAUUUAAAGGGUAAUCUACCUUGAACAUUUGAAAUUCAAAUGUUUUAUAACGAAGGCUGAUUUCUAAGGUUAGGGAGACCGAACUUAUGUAGUAAAGCUUAUUAAUUAGGCAACUAAUCGUCCUAGUUAGUUGUAGACGAACAAAUAAUUAAUAUUUCAAAGUAAGAACCUAAGGAAAUCUAUCGUACAUAAUUAGAAACAAGGGAACACCUAUAACCUGCAAUUAAUGUUUUUGCUAGCUUAUUCCGUAAGGGUAAGUACAUGGUUAGAGGUAAUAUGAUUUAGAAAAAAGCGAAUGUCUAUUUGUAAUGAAUAGAAUAAGGCUAUGCCUAACCUGAAAGGGUGCCUACUUUCUAAAGGUGCUAUAACAAAUAUAAUAAAUAUUUAAUUAAUAAAACAUUUUUACUUAUUUAAUUUAACCUCUGCGUAGCGCGUAGCAGUAGCGUAGCCUAUUUAAAUUUUAAACGCCCCACUUUAGUAGUAGUUAUAAAAAAGAUUCUUUUUUUUUUAAUUAGGAUACAUAUUCUUUAUUAAUAUAUAUCUUUUCGGCUGCAGUAGCAAGCGUUUAUAGAAGAAAAGAUUAAACCAACUCCAAUUAAACUUGAACAUGCAAUUCCAACUCCUAUUUAUUUAGCUGCUGCUAACUUAAAAUUUAAGAUAUGUAAUAAUAAAAAUCGAAUUGUUGCCUGAAAUUCGGCAACAUGAAGAAGGAAUUUCGAGUAAUCGUUGAUCACAAGCGCAACGGUGAAGGUAAAAAAUUCGUGAUGAACUAACUGUCUGUCACUGGGAAGAAGCUCGGGUAGGGGGAAACUGCUUCUUAAUUAAUCACUUUUUCUAAAGAAUAGCUUAAAUUUUAUUAAGUAAAAUUUUAAGUGUUGUUUUAUUGAUAAACUUUUAAAUUUUUAAUUGUUUAUCCUUAUUAGUAUUUUGGGGGGUGUACACCACCCACCAUUUUUACAAUAUUUUAGUAAGAUUAAACAUCUUUGUUAAGCUUAAUUAGUCUUAGUUAACUCAUCUAAGUAACAUCUCAAAAGUCAUAGCAAGGUAGCUGUACUGGAAAGUGCUGCUGUAAUAUAAAUACA